CAGCCGCCACGGUAAUACAGAGGGUGCAAGCGUUAAUCGGAAUUACUGGGCGUAAAGCGCGCGUAGGUGGUUUGUUAAGUUGGAUGUGAAAUCCCCGGGCUCAACCUGGGAACUGCAUCCAAAACUGGCAAGCUAGAGUAUGGUAGAGGGUAGUGGAAUUUCCUGUGUAGCGGUGAAAUGCGUAGAUAUAGGAAGGAACACCAGUGGCGAAGGCGACUACCUGGACUGAUACUGACACUGAGGUGCGAAAGCGUGGGGAGCAAACAGGAUUAGAUACCCCUGUAGUCCCUGUCUCUUAUAC
rnacentral:rRNA from 1 species